rnacentral:lncRNA from 10 species
GAUUGAUUUUCUCCCUGCUUGUGAGAUGAAACCAGGGAGUGUUCUACCCUUCACAAGCAAACUGCAGCUUAAAUUACAGUCUGACCUUUGGCUUGCUGGUGGGGCAACAUUUCCCUGACAUGGCCUUGUCAAACUGUCCUUUCUCUUUGCAAACCUCAAGAUAGGACGUAAUGUGCCAAGCAAGUUCUUCCAAAAAUCUUGCAGAGAACAAGCUGGCAACUUUUCCAGUAAUUUGUGGUUGUGAAAGAUGAAUAGUAGACAUUUCAGGAAAGGGAAGUGUCCUGGGGCAAUGCGUUAUAUAGAUAUUCACUUCUGGACUGGAAAUCUCAUUCUUGAGAUUUCACUGACCAGCAACACUCCAGUGAAACUGCAGUCAAAAUUUAUGGAGUCUGCAGUAAAUAUGAAGCUAAAGUAACAGGCAAUGAAGAGCUCACCUGCUGCCUCCAGGGCUGCUUAACAUGCUGCAACCAGGCUGAAUGGUGCAUAUUGGACUGGAACCUGGAUCCUUGAGUAAAUGAAAGGAGAAAAGCCCCUAUCCAGUAUAUCAGAUUUGUGUAAACCAAAAAAUAAACUUUCAAUAUGCACUCUCCAGGAAAAGCUGCCUGCUAGAUAACAUGAAGACACGCCAGCAGCCUCAUGGGGGUGGAGGGAAGAGAGGCCUCAUGGUGAGGGACUGAGGCCUCCUACUAAAAGCCAGCACUAACUUGUCAGGCAUGAAAGUGAGCCACCUGGAAGCACAUCUUCAGCCCCUGUGGACCCUUUAGAUGACUGCAGGCCCUGCUGACAUCUUGACUGAAACCUCAUGAGACAGCUAGAACCAGAAUCGCCCAGAGAGAAGAACAUCAAAGGUGCGGGUUUAGGGCCCAGAAAGCCACUGGCCCCUUAAUAUCCAGAAAAGGACAAAAACUCACGGGAGUCAAGCACUGUUUGCCUGGAAGAAGAAAGAUAAAGACACAGACAAGCCCUGCUCCCCCACCAGCCAAAACUACUAUUCUACCUGUUUCCUGAUUCUGACCCACACUUCAAGGUACUUAUGAAGAGGGACUAUGUCUGAGUUUAUGCAUUAUUAUGUUCCUAACACCUGGGAGAAGGUCUGGUACCCAGUUGACUCUUG